CCUACGGGGUGCAGCAGUGAGGAAUAUUGGUCAAUGGGCGUAAGCCUGAACCAGCCAAGUCGCGUGAGGGAUGAAGGCUCUAUGGAUCGUAAACCUCUUUUAUCAGGGAAUAAAGUGUGGGACGUGUCCUAUUUUGUAUGUACCUUAUGAAUAAGGAUCGGCUAACUCCGUGCCAGCAGCCGCGGUAAUACGGAGGAUCCGAGCGUUAUCCGGAUUUAUUGGGUUUAAAGGGUGCGUAGGCGGCCUUGUAAGUUAGCGGUUAAAGUCUGUGGCUCAACCAUAGCAUUGCCGUUGAAACUGGGUGGCUUGAGUAUGUUUGAGGCAUGCGGAAUGCGUGGUGUAGCGGUGAAAUGCUUAGAUAUCACGCAGAACCCCGAUUGCGAAGGCAGCCUGCCAGGCCAUGACUGACGCUGAUGCACGAAAGCGUGGGGAUCAAACAGGAUUAGAUACCCCUGUAGUC
rnacentral:rRNA from 1 species